AAUAGUGUGGCUCAGUGGUUGAGCACUUGUCUAGUAUGUACUGGGUUUGGGUUUGAUUCCCACCACCACUA
rnacentral:tRNA from 2 species